rnacentral:ncRNA from 2 species
AAAAAUUCGAGCCAUACAGGUGCCCCUAGAGGGGAGAAUAGGGAAGUCCGGGCCGGCAUUGCCGGCUGACGGCGCGGUCCCGCCACUGUACCCGGGGACGAAACCCGUUGACGCCACUGGAACAAGAACCAUGUUCUGGGAAGGCCGGGGAGUAGGUUGACCCGGAAGCCAGGAGACCUGCCUGUAUGCGUGUAGUCUG